rnacentral:rRNA from 1 species
CAUGCAAGUCGAACGAGAAUCUCUUGCUUCAAGUUUUCGGACGAGAAGUAAGGGAGGAUAGUGGCGAACGGGUGAGGAACACGUGGGUAAUUUACCCUUAAGUUUGGCAUAGCUCGGCGAAAGCCGGAUUAAUUCCAAAUGUGGUCGCUCCACGCAUGUGGAGCUGUCUAAAGGUGGGGCUCUACUUCGGUAGACCUAUCGCUUAAGGAUAAGCCCGCGUCCCAUCAGCUUGUUGGUGAGGUAACGGCUCACCAAGGCUUACGGGUAGCUGGUCUGAGAGGAUGGUCAGCCACACUGGGACUGAGACACUGCCCAGACUCCUACGGGAGGCUGCAGUCGAGAAUCAUUCGCAAUGCGCGAAAGCGCGACGAUGCGACGCCGCGUGCAGGAUGAAGGCUUUCGGGUCGUAAACUGCUGUCAUUGGGGAACAACUGCCCUAAUGCUAAUAUCAUUGGGGCUUGAUGGUACCCAAAGAGGAAGCCACGGCUAACUCUGUGCCAGCAGCCGCGGUAAUACAGAGGUGGCAAGCGUUGUUCGGAUUUACUGGGCGUAAAGCGUGCGUAGGCGGCUUUGUAAGUCGAAUGUGAAAUCUCACCGCUC